AUUCUGGUAACUUAAUUAAAGUAAUAGGCUUUUAACCUAUAGUUAUUUGUUUUAAUCAAAUUCAGGAUA
rnacentral:tRNA from 1 species